UCACCAGCCCCGGUUCUGUUUCUUUAGAUCGGCCUACCUGAUAAGGCACAACAUGCCUUUGCACUUUCGCUGGCUUAAUUGCAGUAUAUUCAUGCUGAGCUUGCAUUUCCUCUUAGCUUCUGUCACAUCUCCAGCUUCUCAGGGCAGGCACGGCAUUGGUCACAGAAGCAAUAGGCUCCAGGGGCUCCGAAAUACAUGAGGUUAGGUUUACACAACAAAUUCCAUUUUGUACACAAUGUCUACUUUUGGGCUCAUUUUCUUAUUUAAAUUCUUUUGGGAGUGGGCUUAUAAGAGUCCUGUAUAGACUAUUAAUGGGAGACUUAGGUCAUACUAGGAAGCUAUUGGUGAAGGGUUAGAGAGCAGAGGAAAAUACCAAGCUAAGGGAAAGCUAGCUCCCGUGUAGCAGAAAGUUUAGUACGGCAAUUUGCCUUAACAGCCAGAAAUGAGCCUAUCUCACCAAUGCAUGCUCUAGCCAAGGGUUUCUAAAUAUUUUGUCAAAAAUGCUGUCAGGAUGAUAGUAAAAGAUGAGAGAUGAUCAAGAAGAAAAUUUAAAUAUAAGGGAGCAUGCCUUUGGGAGUUUGAACAGUAAAACUAAUGGCUCUACUCGGUUGUCAAAUUGACAACAUCUGGAGUAAGUUAAAAGCCAAGCCACUUGGUGCAGUUGUGAGGGAUUUUCCUUGUGGAUCAAUAGAGGUGGGGCGGGGGGAUUCACCUCAUAUCUGUGCCACACCUUCUGAUAGCAGCCUACAUACAGGAUAUUGAAGAAGGAAGAAGGAAGCUUUUUUUGUUUUUUUAACCUGUGUGACCUCAAUCUCACUGUCAAGGUCAUUUCUUUACUUGUAUUAGAGCCUACUUCUAAAGGAUUCCUGCGUAUGCUGAAGAUAUCCAGUCUCAUGAUGGACCUACUGAACAAGAUUCAACAUGGAUUCUUGGACCUUAUGUUGGAAGACAGCCAUUAUUGGACUAGUCAGACCACAGGCUGUAAGGCCCUCUAAUAAAUCCCACGUAUCAUUC
rnacentral:lncRNA from 1 species